GACGAACGCUGGCGGCGUGCUUAACACAUGCAAGUCGACAUGAGUGGCGAACGUGUUAGUAAUACGUGGGUAACCUGCCCUCCUUUUUGGGAUAAGCCUUGGAAACGGGGUCUAAUCCCAACUAAAGGCGGAUGGGCUCUCGGCCUAUCAGCUUGUUGGUGGGGUGAUGGCCUACCAAGGCGGGGACGGGUAGCCGGCCUGAGAGGGGGAACGGUCAAAUUGGGACUGAGAUACGGCCCAGAAUCCUACGGGAGGCAGCAGGGGGGGAUAUUGCACAAUGGGCGAAAGCAUGAUGCAGCGACGCCGCGGGGGGGAUGAAGGCUUUCGGGUUGUAAAGUACUUUCAGCGAGGAGGCGUUAAUCGCAGAAGAAGCACCGGCUAACUCCGGGCCAGCCGCCGCGGUAAUAC
rnacentral:rRNA from 1 species